AAGUCCUUUUAGGGCGACAACGGUUACUGUGAUUAAAGAACUCAUUAAUAACUACAAUUGUUGUCGCCCUGACUCGAGUUU
rnacentral:pre_miRNA from 1 species